rnacentral:rRNA from 1 species
UACGAAGGGGGCUAGCGUUGCUCGGAAUUACUGGGCGUAAAGGGCGCGUAGGCGGACAGUUUAGUCAGAGGUGAAAGCCCAGGGCUCAACCUUGGAAUUGCCUUUGAUACUGGCUGUCUUGAGUUCGGGAGAGGUGAGUGGAAUGCCGAGUGUAGAGGUGAAAUUCGUAGAUAUUCGGCGGAACACCAGUGGCGAAGGCGGCUCUCUGGGACGUGACUGACGCUGAGACGCGAAAGCGUGGGGAGCAAACAGG